AACGAACGCUGGCGGCAGGCUUAACACAUGCAAGUCGAGCGCCCCGCAAGGGGAGCGGCAGACGGGUGAGUAACGCGUGGGAACGUACCCUUUGCUACGGAAUAGCUCCGGGAAACUGGAAUUAAUACCGUAUGUGCCCUACGGGGGAAAGUUGUAUCGGCAAAGGAUCGGCCCGCGUUGGAUUAGCUAGUUGGUGGGGUAAUGGCCUACCAAGGGGAUGAUCCAUAGCUGGUCUGAGAGGAUGAUCAGCCACAUUGGGACUGAGACACGGCCCAAACUCCUACGGGAGGCAGCAGUGGGGAAUAUUGGACAAUGGGCGCAAGCCUGAUCCAGCCAUGCCGCGUGAGUGAUGAAGGCCUUAGGGUUGUAAAGCUCUUUCACCGGAGAAGAUAAUGACGGUAUCCGGAGAAGAAGCCCCGGCUAACUUCGUGCCAGCAGCCGCCGUAAUAC
rnacentral:rRNA from 1 species